GAUGAAGCUCAUUUCUCUUCAGUAAUUGGGAGAGAUUUGGAUAUGAAUCUGACUCUACCCACAGGGUACACUGAAGGCACAAAAGGAAGAGAGAUCCUCUGUACCCAUAAACCCCUUUUAAUGCUCUACUUUUGCCAUCUUGAUAUUCUGCAGAGCUUUUGAAAAGGGAUCCCUGAAAAUAAUGCAUCAGGUUCUUGUCCUCUAAAUAAGUGAGACAUACAGAAAGAAUAGACACAGCUGGGACGUGGAAUGAGUUUGCUACCUUGGGUCUGACCCCAAAUCUCAUGACUUUGAGAUCUAUAGGACUGGAUUCUAAAAAGUUGGGUUUAAGAAUUCAGCCAUCAACCUUUCUAGGACCCAAGAAGUCUCAAAAUAGUGGGGAGAUAGUCUCAGGGACCCAUAUUCUAUUCUGGGUGUAUAGGUUUUUCAUUUAUGCUGCCAACCCGUAGCGGGAGGUCUGCUGUAGAAAUAAACUCAUUCAACUUUAGGAGAACAUGAUUCGGUGUAACUAAGGCUAACAGCCCUGUUGGAAAGACAGACAGAAUCUCUGUCCUUUGUUUUAGUUUCACUGUACAAAAAGCACAAGGCAAAGAGGUGGAGUGGUAGUUAAGUGGAUAGGACCUAGAGUCAAAGACAGAGUCCAAAGGCUAGCUCUGCUGUUUACUCUACCAGUAGUGUCACGAGUCCUUCAAACUCUUUAGUGUUUUUUCUUAAAACCUAUAAAAUAAGAUUAUGCAAACACAAACAAUUCCCAAGAUUGUGGUAGGAUCAGAUGAACGGAUGUACAUGACAGCGUUUAAAGAGCUCUAGAAACUUGGGUAAUGUUUGUCACUAUUAUGGUUGGCAGGUGCAGGUGCAAAGAUGUGGUCUUUCCAGAAAGGACACCUGGGUCAUGCAGAGACUUCAGCUCAGAGAAGCCACUUCAGGAUUCUUUUGUUUGCAAAAUCAGUUGGGAAGUGUGGAAGGAAGUGUAGAAAAGGAAGAGGCAAGAGAAGCAUUGAAGAGGAGGAAACUGAGGCUGAGACAUGGCAUCACAUGGCUUCUCUGACCAACUGAAUUGUGUCAAGUUAGGUGCUAUGGAUGUUUAUGACCUGAAGACUUCUCCCCUGAAGAGACUGAUCCUACCAAGAUUAGCCAAAUCUCCUUGUCUAGCUGUGUAUAAUUCUCCCUACAUGUGUGUGUCUCUCUGUGUGUGUGUGUGUGUGUGUGUGUGUG